UGGGGAAUCUUGCACAAUGGGGGAAACCCUGAUGCAGCGACGCCGCGUGAACGAUGAAGCCCUUCGGGGUGUAAAGUUCUUUCGACAGGAACGAUAAUGACGGUACCGGGAGAAGAAGCUGCGGCUAACUACGUGCCAGCAGCCGCGGUAAUACGUAGGCAGCAAGCGUUGUUCGGAGUUACUGGGCGUAAAGAGUGCGUAGGCGGUUUUCUAAGUUCGGUGUGAAAUCUCCCGGCUUAACUGGGAGGGUGCGCCGAAGACUGGGAAGCUGGAGUGUGGGAAAGGCAGGCGGAAUUCCCGGUGUAGCGGUGAAAUGCGUAGAUAUCAGGAGGAACACCGGCGGUGUAGACGGCUUGCUAGACCAUAACUGACGCUGAGGCACGAAAGCGUGGGUAGCAAACA
rnacentral:rRNA from 1 species